AUUCUGGUUGAUCCUGCCAGUAGUUAUAUGCUUGUCUCAAAGAUUAAGCCAUGCAUGUCUAAGUACACACGAAUUAAAAGUGAAACCGCAAAAGGCUCAUUAUAUCAGUUAUGGUUCCUUAGAUCGUUAACAGUUACUUGGAUAACUGUGGUAAUUCUAGAGCUAAUACAUGCAAUUAAAACAUGAACCUUAUGGGACAUGUGCUUUUAUUAGGCUAAAACCAAGCGAUCGCAAGAUCGUUAUAUUGGUUGAACUCUAGAUAACAUGCAGAUCGUAUGGUCUUGUACCGACGACAGAUCUUUCAAAUGUCUGCCCUAUCAACUUUUGAUGGUAGUAUCUAGGACUACCAUGGUUGCAACGGGUAACGGGGAAUCAGGGUUCGAUUCCGGAGAGGGAGCCUGAGAAACGGCUACCACAUCUAAGGAAGGCAGCAGGCGCGUAAAUUACCCACUCCCAGCUCGGGGAGGUAGUGACGAAAAAUAACAAUACAGGGACUCAUAUCCGAGGCCCUGUAAUUGGGAAUGAGUACACUUUAAAUCCUUUAACAAGGGACCAAUUGGGAGGGCAAGUCUGGUGCCAGCAGCCGCGGUAAUUCCAGCUCCAAUAGCGUAUAUUAAAGUUGUUGCGGUUAAAUCGUUCGUAGUUGAACUUGUGCUUCAUACGGGUAGUACAACUUACAAUUGUGGUUAGUACUAUACCUUUAUGUAUGUAAGCGUAUUACCGGUGGAGUUCUUAUAUGUGAUUAAAUACUUGUAUUUUUUCAUAUGUUCCUCCUAUUUAAAAACCUGCACUAGUGCUCUUAAACGAGUGUUAUUGUGGGCCGGUACUAUUACUUUGAACAAAUUAGAGUGCUUAAAGCAGGCUUCAAAUGCCUGAAUAUUCUGUGCAUGGGAUAAUGAAAUAAGACCUCUGUUCUGCUUUCAUUGGUUUUCAGAUCAAGAGGUAAUGAUUAAUAGAAGCAGUUUGGGGGCAUUAGUAUUACGACGCGAGAGGUGAAAUUCUUGGACCGUCGUAAGACUAACUUAAGCGAAAGCAUUUCCCAAAGAUGUUUUCAUUAAUCAAGAACGAAAGUUAGAGGUUCGAAGGCGAUCAGAUACCGCCCUAGUUCUAACCAUAAACGAUGCCAGCUAGCAAUUGGGUGUAGCUACUUUUAAGGCUCUCUCAGUCGCUUCCCGCGAAACCAAAGC
rfam:Drosophila sechellia strain Rob3c scaffold_9149 genomic scaffold, whole genome shotgun sequence.